rnacentral:rRNA from 1 species
UCGAUUAGCCAUGCGAGUCUAGAGGCCUAGCCUCGGCGUACCGCUCAGUAACACGUGGGUAACCUACCCUAUGCUGGGGGAUAAGCUCGGGAAACUGAGAAUAAUACCCCAUAGUCCACUACGCCUGGAACGGUGAGUGGAUCAAAGCUCCGGCGGCAUAGGAUGGGCCUGCGGCGUAUCAGGUUGUAGGGGGUGUAACGUACCCUCUAGCCAUCCACGCGUACGGGUGUUGGGAGACAUUGCCCGGAGAUGGAUUCUGAGACACGAAUCCAGACCCUACGGGGGUGCAGCAGGCGCGAAAACUUGGCAAUGGGAGAAAUCGUGACCAGGGAACUCCAAGUGGCCAGGGGGUAAGACCCUGUUCUUUUUUCGGACUUCUAAAUAGGUCGGCGAAUAAGGGUGGGUAAAGACGGUUGCAGCCGCCGCGGUAAUACCGGCGCCUCAAGUGGGUAUUGGCUUUUUGGGCCUAAAAGUUCCGAGCGGUUUGUUCCAUUCUGGGGUUAAAUAAAUCGGUUAACGAGUUGAAUCUGGAAGACGGCCAGACUUGGAACGGAAAGGUGGGUAUCUCAGGGUAGGGUAAAUCUGUCUCUCUAAGAACACUGUUGCGA